rnacentral:misc_RNA from 1 species
CGUCCUCGGCCGAUACACAGCGGGAAGAGUAGUGACUCGCGAGGCACAGUGGCACCACGUACGCCUCGGGCGAAGUGCGAGGAGCGUGUUGUGCUGUGGGCAGCUUGCUUGUGAGUAUGCUCAAGCGAGAAGGAUGAGCACGGAAGACGCACGC